CAUGCGACCGCCGCACGGAUUAUGUACGUUCAGCUCGCUUACCUAAUUCGUCGAACGAGAAUACUUCAAUCGCCGCCUGCCCACUCAUUGUGCACCCAUUGGACGGGUAUUCUGACCCUAUUGAGGCCCUUUGGCCCCGAUUAUGGCCUAUUGUAAAACUUGGCGUACCAAGCUUUAACUUUCCGCCGAAGCCGACAGUGAAUACCUACCUGGGCGCAGCGUAAUCGAUCAACCACUCCAUUGCCGAGUGGUUCCGUUGCUACGCAUCGGCUGGACUCUCCCACUAGCCGGUGUGACCCUGACUCUGUGCCGGGUCUGAGGAUGCCCUCCGUCGUCAUCCCUUAGAAGGCGUUACCUGCUUUCAGACUGCCUCGUUGCGGCGCACUCACUACUUCCGAAAGCCCAGCAUUUUGAGACAACAAUCCCUUCUUGUUCACGAUCAACUUAUUCGACCGUGGAACUGCCAUGGAUUGGUCUUUCGGUGCCGAUUGAUGCACGGUCGUCGGCGCCAUUAUGCAUCCACCGUUCGCAAUAGGCCUUAAUAACCCGCAUUUCGCGCGCGUCCACCAAAGAAUUCAGACUACACUUUCGGGUGCCGAGUUGGCACCUCCCAGUAACCUUUGACCCUCUGAACUCACGUCUUCUCCUCUCACCUUAAGGUACACAUCGCCCACUUUACCCAUCUCUUUACCUCCUUGUGGUAACCCCUUCCGCCGGAAGAAACCAAACAAUUUGAACUGUGACUCCCGGCGCUUUUCCGCACCCCCUCGUGUUGGCCUAAUUAUAUGGGACCUAUCAAGGAGGGGCAAUUUGCUAACCCACAUUUCAAAAAUCUUCCCAAAAGGGGGAAAAUAAACGCCUUCAUUUUGUUAAUUUCGUUAAGGGGGAACCCCCCAUUCCCGGCGGUUCCGAAUUUUUAAUUUUCCUUUAACCGGCCCCCGGGCGUGUUCGCCACCUUCGGUAAACCAAAAUUAAAACCUUCCGUUUGCCCUUUUCUUUGGAAAAGGGGUCCAAAAACGUAAGAAAAAUGGUUGGAUUCCUAUUCCAAAAAGAAAGCCCCUGUUUUCCUGGUCACCAGGAACCAAAACAAUUGGGGCCCAGGAAUUUUCCAACCAAUUAAGGGGGUGCUUCCGUGGGAAUAAAAUCAACCGGUGGUAAUUAACCCGUUAAAAUCCCCCGGCGGCCAAUGGUUUGCCUUCUUCCCACCCCUCUCAAGUUAAUAAGAAGGGGGAUAAUGGAACCCAUGGGGUGAACAAGGUUACCGCCAAGGUUUUUCACGGUCCUGGCCUUCCACUUCAAUAAAAUAAUUUGGCAAAAAUUAAACCCUACAAUCCACGGUUAACGGAAGGUCCUUCGCCCUUAGCAACCAUAACCCCUAAUUGGUAGGCGCCCCUUUAUCCAAGGCCCGGAACCAUGUGUGGCGGGCCAGGGUGGUCUUUUAAACCAUGGGGGCUUUAGCCCCCCCCAUGGGAAAACCUCGGUCGGCGGAUUCCACCUGUCUACUACCCC
rnacentral:rRNA from 1 species